UGAGGAAUAUUGGACAAUGGGCGCAAGCCUGAUCCAGCCAUGCCGCGUGCAGGAAGAAGCAUCUAUGGUGUGUAAACUGCUUUUGUACGGGAAGAAACACUCCUCCGUGAAGGAGCUUGACGGUACCGUAAGAAUAAGGAUCGGCUAACUCCGUGCCAGCAGCCGCGGUAAUACGGAGGAUCCAAGCGUUAUCCGGAAUCAUUGGGUUUAAAGGGUCCGUAGGCGGUUUAGUAAGUCAGUGGUGAAAGCCCAUCGCUCAACGAUGGAACGGCCAUUGAUACUGCUAGACUUGAAUUAUUAGGAAGUAACUAGAAUAUGUAGUGUAGCGGUGAAAUGCUUAGAUAUUACAUGGAGUACCAAUUGCGAAGACAGGUUACUACUAAUGGAUUGACACUGUUGGACGAAAGCGUGGGGAGCGAAAA
rnacentral:rRNA from 1 species